rnacentral:rRNA from 1 species
AUGCAAGUCGAGCGGCAGCGCGGGGGCAACCCUGGCGGCGAGCGGCGAACGGGUGAGUAACACAUCGGAACGUAUCCCGUAGAGGGGGAUAGCCCGGCGAAAGCCGGAUUAAUACCGCAUAUGCUCUACGGAGGAAAGCAGGGGACCUGGUAACGGGCCUUGCGCUAUGGGAGCGGCCGAUGUCCGAUUAGCUUGUUGGCGGGGUAAUGGCCCACCAAGGCGACGAUCGGUAGCUGGUCUGAGAGGAUGAUCAGCCACACUGGGACUGAGACACGGCCCAGACUCCUACGGGAGGCAGCAGUGGGGAAUUUUGGACAAUGGGGGAAACCCUGAUCCAGCCAUGCCGCGUGAGUGAAGAAGGCCUUCGGGUUGUAAAGCUCUUUUGGUCGGAAAGAAGGAGUUCGGGUGAAUAACCUGGAUUUUUGACGGUACCGGCAGAAUAAGCACCGGCUAACUACGUGCCAGCAGCCGCGGUAAUACGUAGGGUGCGAGCGUUAAUCGGAAUUACUGGGCGUAAAGAGUGCGUAGGCGGUCUUUCAAGUCCGUUGUGAAAGCCCCGGGCUCAACCUGGGAAUGGCAGUGGAAACUAGAAGACUUGAAUCUGGCAGAGGGGGGUGGAAUUCCACGUGUAGCAGUGA